rnacentral:rRNA from 1 species
UGGAGCCAACCUUGAAAUACCACCCUUUAAUGUUUGAUGUUCUAACGUGGACCCGUAAUCCGGGUUGCGGACAGUGUCUGGUGGGUAGUUUGACUGGGGCGGUCUCCUCCUAAAGAGUAACGGAGGAGCACGAAGGUUGGCUAAUCCUGGUCGGACAUCAGGAGGUUAGUGCAAUGGCAUAAGCCAGCUUGACUGCGAGCGUGACGGCGCGAGCAGGUGCGAAAGCAGGUCAUAGUGAUCCGGUGGUUCUGAAUGGAAGGGCCAUCGCUCAACGGAUAAAAGGUACUCCGGGGAUAACAGGCUGAUACCGCCCAAGAGUUCAUAUCGACGGCGGUGUUUGGCACCUCGAUGUCGGCUCAUCACAUCCUGGGGCUGAAGUAGGUCCCAAGGGUAUGGCUGUUCGCCAUUUAAAGUGGUACGCGAGCUGGGUUUAGAACGUCGUGAGACAGUUCGGUCCCUAUCUGCCGUGGGCGCUGGAGAACUGAGGGGGGCUGCUCCUAGUACGAGAGGACCGGAGUGGACGCAUCACUGGUGUUCGGGUUGUCAUGCCAAUGGCACUGCCCGGUAGCUAAAUGCGGAAGAGAUAAGUGCUGAAAGCAUCUAAGCACGAAACUUGCCCCGA